rnacentral:rRNA from 1 species
GUCUAAGUAUAAGCAAUUAUACCGCGAAACUGCGAAUGGCUCAUUAAAUCAGUUAUCGUUUAUUUGAUAGUUCCCUACUACAUGGAUAACCGUGGUAAUUCUAGAGCUAAUACAUGCAAAAAACCGCGACUUCGGAAGCGGUGUAUUUAUUAGAUUAAAGACCAAUGCCCUUCGGGGCUGACUGGUGAUUCAUGAUAACUUCUCGAAUCGCACGGCCUUGCGCCGGCGAUGGUUCAUUCAAAUUUCUGCCCUAUCAACUUUCGACUUUAGCGUAGUGGGCUAAAGUGGUUACAACGGGUAACGGAGGGUUAGGGCUCGACCCCGGAGAAGGAGCCUGAGAGACGGCUACUACAUCCAAGGAAGGCAGCAGGCGCGCAAAUUACCCAAUCCCGACACGGGGAGGUAGUGACAAUAAAUACUGAUACAGGGCUCUUUUGGGUCUUGUAAUUGGAAUGAGUACAAUUUAAAUCCCUUAACGAGGAACAAUUGGAGGGCAAGUCUGGUGCCAGCAGCCGCGGUAAUUCCAGCUCCAAUAGCGUAUAUUAAAGUUGUUGUGGUUAAAAAGCUCGUAGUUGAACCUGGGCCUCGCGCAGACCGGUCCGCCUCACCGCGUGCACUGGUCCUGCCGGGGCUUUCACUAGGGGAUUCGCAUGCCCUUCACUGGGCGUGCGCGGAACCUGGACCUUUACUGUGAAAAAAUUAGAGUGUUCAAAGCAGGCCUAUGCUCGAAUACAUUAGCAUGGAAUAAUAGAAUAGGACGUGUGGUUCUAUUUUGUUGGUUAUGGGACCGCCGUAAUGAUUAAUAGGGACAGUCGGGGGCAUCAGUAUUCAAUUGUCAGAGGUGAAAUUCUUGGAUUUAUUGAAGACUAACUACUGCGAAAGCAUUUGCCAAGGAUGUUUUCAUUAAUCAGGAACGAAAGUUAGGGGAUCGAAGACGAUCAGAUACCGUCGUAGUCUUAACCAUAAACUAUGCCGACUAGGGAUCGGGCGAUGUUACUUUUUGACUCGCUCGGCACCUUACGAGAAAUCAAAGUUUGUGGGUUCCUGGGGGAGUAUGGUGGCAACGCUGAAACUUAAAGAAUUGACGGAAGGGCACCACCAGGGGUGGAGCCUGCGGCUUAAUUUGACUCACACGGGGAAACUCACCAGGUCCAGACCAAUGAGGAUGACG